GAUGCUAUUUUAUUAAUGGAAGAGCAGAAGAUUGACUGUGACGUCAUAGCACUGAUGGAUGACGCAACUUUGGCAAACUACAUUCCCUCGUAUGGAGACCGAAUUGCCCUCUUCAAUUUCUGCAAAAGCAAGCAACCACUGUCAAAA